GUUGUGUCACCUACCAACACUCAAUCUUUUCAUGGGGUUGUUGUAUUGGGGGUGGAGAUUGGUUUCCCGUUUCUUUGAUGCGGUUGGCUAAAAUUGGAAUUCCAUUUCAAAUGAACACGCGAUUAGUGGUGGUUGAGAAGACCCUCUAUUGAGUUGUGAGUUCAUAGGGAAAGAAUAACCCUAAAAUAACCUGAUGUGCUUUUUGUAUGAGGCUUUGACU
rnacentral:misc_RNA from 1 species